rnacentral:rRNA from 1 species
GUGGGGAAUUUUGGACAAUGGGGGCAACCCUGAUCCAGCCAUUCCGCGUGAGUGAAGAAGGCCUUCGGGUUGUAAAGCUCUUUCGGCAGGAACGAAACGGUGAGCUCUAACAUAGCUCGCUAAUGACGGUACCUGAAGAAGAAGCACCGGCUAACUACGUGCCAGCAGCCGCGGUAAUACGUAGGGUGCGAGCGUUAAUCGGAAUUACUGGGCGUAAAGCGUGCGCAGGCGGUUGUGUAAGACAGGUGUGAAAUCCCCGGGCUUAACCUGGGGACUGCGCUUGUGACUGCACGGCUAGAGGAUGGCAGAGGGGGGUGGAAUUCCACGUGUAGCAGUGAAAUGCGUAGAGAUGUGGAGGAACACCGAUGGCGAAGGCAGCCCCCUGGGCCAAUACUGACGCUCAUGCACGAAAGCGUGGGGAGCAAACAGGAUUAGAAACCCUUGUAGUCC